rnacentral:rRNA from 1 species
GACGAACGCUGGCGGCGUGCCUAAUACAUGCAAGUUGAGCGAUGAAGAUUGGUGCUUGCACCAAUUUGAAGAGCAGCGAACGGGUGAGUAACGCGUGGGGAAUCUGCCUUUGAGCGGGGGACAACAUUUGGAAACGAAUGCUAAUACCGCAUAACAACUUUAAACAUAAGUUUUAAGUUUGAAAGAUGCAAUUGCAUCACUCAAAGAUGAUCCCGCGUUGUAUUAGCUAGUUGGUGAGGUAAAGGCUCACCAAGGCGAUGAUACAUAGCCGACCUGAGAGGGUGAUCGGCCACAUUGGGACGGGGACACGGCCCAAACUCCUACGGGAGGCAGCAGUAGGGAAUCUUCGGCAAUGGACGAAAGUCUGACCGAGCAACGCCGCGUGAGUGAAGAAGGUUUUCGGAUCGUAAAACUCUGUUGGUAGAGAAGAACGUUGGUGAGAGUGGAAAGCUCAUCAAGUGACGGUAACUACCCAGAAAGGGACGGCUAACUACGUG